CUAAGCCCGAAAAAAAGUGAAAAGCCCGCCUAGGCCCGGUGGACUAUCUAGAAAUUUGGGAAUACACUAUCUCACUAAAAUCCUCCGAUAGUAAGCUUUUUGUUCAUGAUAGUCAUAAUUGCCCAACAUUCUUCUCUCACCCACUUUCUCUCUCUUUUGCAACUCAACUUUACCAUAUCUAUCUUCUGGAGAAGUGACGAGAACCAAACGAUUUCGAAGACUAGCCGCUGUUUGACUGUAGUCUCUCGCCCGUCGACAGAUUUCUUCCUCUGCCAUGUAGAAGAUUUCUUCAUCAACCGUAGAUGAGGAUUUUUCUAACUACAUUAGUUUUUUUUUUAUUUUUCGCAACUCAAUCCAUUUCUCGUGGAUUGGGGUGGGAGCCUGUCGAUUUGUUGUGUGUUCUAUCGGUAAAAUUCUAUGGGUUUGUGUUGUCUUGCAAA